AUGGAUGUGUUUGAAGUCUGUCGGAUCAAACCAGAUGAGGGCAGUGAAGGUUUGAUGGUGUGGCGCCCCAGCAAUCUACAAAGCCAGAUGCAACAUAUGGGUAAUAUGAGUCACAUCAUAAGAAGACUAUGUCUUGUUUGGCUUGUUCUGGAAGGCCUAUGCAAGCGCUCAUUCGGGCUACAAGAUGACAAGAAAAAAAGGACGAAGACUGAUUCCAUGGGAUGGAUCACUGAUGGGUGAAGACAGAAGAGGGCUGAAGAAGAACCGCUAACUGGCAGUCUAGUCAUAUAAGGAUUCAUAAAAGAUGUUGAAAAUCACAGCUGAUUUAUUCUCCAAAUCUCUCAUAAUGUUGGGAAUGCUGGGAAGUGCACUGCACUGUGGGAAAUAUUUUGUGCUGUAUGUUCUCAUCAGUACUUUAGAAUCACUCUUCUAUAUGUACCAGUAGACAAGUUUAAGAGUUUAUAAAAAAAAGGGGUUUCAUUUCUUUAAACAACUUUAAACAUUUAGAAGCAAACAAUGUCAAUGUGUUUAUUCCUUGAACAGCCAUUUCCAUUGUUUAUUUAGAUAUUAAUAUGCAACACGUCCAAUAGCAUCAUAUUCGACACUUCACAUCACUGCAGCAUCAACCAACAUGCUUUGAUGGGUUCUCGAUGCCAGUGUAAUGAAAUGUACAUACAAAAACAUGCUCAUCUCUACAGGGAAAAUGCUAAAUCUGAUUAGCCGCAUUAUGCACAUGCAAUAACCAUUUACACAGUAAACAAAAUGUGGGGUAAUGCAUUUGCCAUCAACUGGAAGACUGAUUAAAUUUAUAAUAAAUAAAUAAUCCCAUUACACCAGUAAUUGGCAUCACUGACUUCAAAAGUCAGCUACACUAUAUAAUUUCUAAAAAAAAAAAAAAAAAAAAUCAUACCGGUACCUACUGAAUAAGGAACACACAUUUUUCUGCCAUCGAAGCAAUUAAAGCUCUCAACAAUAGUUCACCCCAAAAUUAAAUCUUGCUGAAAAUUUACUCACCAUAAGAAAAAGC
ensembl:lncRNA